rnacentral:piRNA from 1 species
UUCAUAUUUUGCUUUUCUGGUGUGAUGGU